AGUGAACGCUGGCGGUAGGCCUAACACAUGCAAGUCGAACGGCAGCACAGAGGAGCUUGCUCCUUGGGUGGCGAGUGGCGGACGGGUGAGGAAUACAUCGGAAUCUACUCUGUCGUGGGGGAUAACAUAGGGAAACUUACGCUAAUACCGCAUACGACCUACGGGUGAAAGCAGGGGAUCCUCGGACCUUGCGCGAUUGAAUGAGCCGAUGUCGGUUUAGCUAGUUGGCGGGGUAAAGGCCCACCAAGGCGACGAUCCGUAGCUGGUCUGAGAUGAUGCACAGCCACUCUGGAGCUGAGGCACGGUCCAGACUCCGACGGGUGGCAGCGUUGGGGAAUAUUGUACAAUGGGCGCAAGCCUGAUCCAGCCAUACCGCGUGGGUGAAAAAGGCCUUCGGGUUGUAAAGCCCUUUUGUUGGGAAAGAAAUCCAUCUGGUUAAUACCCGGGUGGGAUGACGGUACCCAAAGAAUAAGCACCGGCUAACUUCGUGCCAGCCGCCGCCGUAA
rnacentral:rRNA from 1 species